AUCCUAAAAUAUUUGCAAGGGUUCCAUCAUUGCCUUCGGCAUUUACCUUUCGUCUUUCUCUCGUUCCACGGGCAUGUCUUUAUUUGGCCUCUGGCUUUGGCUGACGGAGGGACAGACCACCUUGCAAACUUCUGUUUCACCUGCUCUGCGUUGGAAGUGGAGAGCAUCGCCCUGGCUGGGAGCUCAGAAAGAGACUUUGCAGAAGGACGCCCUGGAUCCAUCUCAGGUCAGUGCAGAAGAAGGCUGAGGGGGAUCGGGACCCUGGCCCAGCUGACCAUGAGGGCCUUCUCUGUGGCUGUACCUAGACUUUGGAACUCCCUCCCACUGGACGCCAAGCUGGUCCCCAUCUUUAAUGUCCUUCCGCAAGCUGGCAAAAGACCUUUCUCUUCAGGCAAACUUUGUCUCAUUGACUGUCUGUCUAAGACGUGUUUUUUUUUAAAAUGGGACUAUUAUGUUUUUAUUGUUGUUUUUAACGUCUUUUUAUUACUGUUUUUAUCCAGUUAUACUUGAAGCUAUUUCAGCUUCUAAUCUUGUUUCUUUUCAUACUGCCAGCCAUUUUAGGAUCUAUCUUGGGGGAAAGGUGGCGUAUUAACAAAUAAAUAAGCUUGAAUUAAGGUGCA
rnacentral:lncRNA from 1 species